rnacentral:lncRNA from 1 species
ACUGACAAGGAAAAGCAAUCUAAAUAAAAAAGAUUUCUUGAAAUAUUCCUAAGCAUUGGACAUGAACCACUAAACCACAAAUAUCCACUUCUACGGUCUAAGAUACCAAAUCAAGUGAUAAGUAACCAAUCAGGUAUAAAGAAAAGCACAAAAAAUCCCGCUAUUUGGGCAAUGAGUUAAGUUGGUGACUGAAUUUAGAUAUUGAUGGAAUAAAUUAACGGUAUCAAUUAGCACAGAAAUCAAAUGGUAUUGACGAGAUUACACAAGAAUGAUGGAAUACAUUGGUAGUAAAUGACCUUCAAAUAUAUUUCUUUGCAAUAGGGAAGGUGAUCAAAGGCCGUUCGGAGUGCUUUAGCGGCUUCAGGUUGACGAGACCUCUUUUUUUGCAUACAUCGAACUUUCCUUCGAAGGAGACUUUUCGCCUAGCAAAAUGGUCCAUCCACAGCUCUCGUUGUCUUUCCACUUUGUUGAAUGAAUUUGAUCUAUCGAUCCUACAAAGUGAUUUCUGCCAAAGCAAAGGGAGCUAUAGCGCAGCCAGCCCCUGCGGAUCAAGAGAGUGCAAACUUCUCGCACAACUCUUAGUUCAAAAAGUUCAUGAUCAAAGGUUUUGCAGUAAUGUGACAAAGAAUAGAAAGCCACGAGAACGAGUGGAAACUGAGUAAUAGUCAGGUAGCUUCAAGAUGACCAGACACCACCACAAUAAUGGAGGAUAUCAUGGUCUAUCUUGACAGGGCCACUAUGAAAAGCAUCGAACUCCAGCCUCUGUGAACAGGAUACUGACCAUAACUGAGAAGAAAUUAUUUUGAUGCAAAUAUGUAAUUUUUUCAGAAGCAAGCUGCCAAGAAAAGAUCAAACAACAGAUGAAACUCGGAACCUAAAAAUCUAAUAUUUUAACAGUUCACAGCCUUCAAUGUCAUGGCAAGGCAGCUACUGUUUAUGUGUGCAGGUAAAAAUAAUAAAAUAACAGAAUAAUGAAAUGAUAACAAAGAGAACAUCGAUC